rnacentral:sRNA from 1 species
GCUGUGGGGUCCCAAAAUCGUGACCCCAGCCCCUCUCCCCUCCUCCCCCACCAUCUCCCAUGUCAGGAUCAGUUCGAGGUGCUCGAGCGCCACACGCAGUGGGGGCUGGACCUGUUGGACAGAUAUGUAAAGUUCGUGAAAGAACGCACCGAAGUGGAACAGGCUUACGCCAAACAACUGCGGUGAGACCCCGGGGUGGACGCUACGGAGGACGCGCCUGGGGCGACGGGGAGCGGUGGGAGGGCUGCGGGCUCAGCCCUCCUACCUCUGUCUCCCCUUAGGAGCCUGGUGAAAAAAUAUCUGCCCAAGAGACCUGCCAAGGAUGAUCCUGAGUCCAAGUUCAGCCAGCAACAGUCCUUCGUACAGAUUCUCCAGGAGGUGAAUGACUUUGCAGGCCAGCGGGAGCUGGUGGCCGAGAACCUCAGUGUCCGUGUAUGUCUUGAGCUGACCAAGUACUCACAAGAGAUGAAACAGGAGAGGAAGAUGCACUUCCAAGAAGGGCGGCGGGCCCAGCAGCAGCUGGAAAACGGCUUCAAACAGCUGGAGAAUAGUAAGCGUAAAUUUGAGCGGGACUGCCGGGAGGCAGAGAAGGCAGCCCAGACUGCUGAACGGCUAGACCAGGAUAUCAACGCCACCAAGGCUGAUGUGGAGAAGGCCAAGCAGCAAGCCCACCUUCGGAGUCAUAUGGCUGAAGAAAGCAAAAACGAAUAUGCAGCUCAACUGCAGCGCUUCAACCGAGACCAAGCCCACUUCUAUUUUUCACAGAUGCCGCAGAU